rnacentral:SRP_RNA from 1 species
UGUUGGGCUAGGAGGGGGGUUGGCGUCCCCUGUAUCGCAAAUCGCAACAUGGCGGUCCGAACGCCCGGGGGCGGCAAAACCGAGCAUCGUAGGACGCAUCUGUGGACGUUGAUGCCUCGCCUUCAUGAGAUCGUGGUUUUGGAGAACUGUAUUCGGAAGAAAAUAGAAAUUCAAUUAUCGGGGGAUCAGGUCAGGCCAGGAAUGGAGCAGCCCUACCCGAAGCCAAUGAUGCCGUGGAGAAUCGGGGUGGAGAAUACGGGUGCACUCUCUUGCGGUGAAACGGAUGUCCACCCCGGGAAUGCCCACCU